rnacentral:rRNA from 1 species
GCUGGCGGCAGGUUUAAGAACUGCAAGUCGAACGCCCCGCAAGGAGUGGCAGACGGGUGAGUAACGUCGUGGGAAUCUACCUAGUUCUACGGAACAACUGAGGGAAACUUCAGCUAAUACCGUAUACGCCCUAAGGGGGAAAGAUUUAUCGGAAUUAGAUGAGCCCGCGUAAGAUUAGCUAGUUGGUGGGGUAAAGGCCUACCAAGGCUACGAUCUUUAGCUGGUCUGAGAGGAUGAUCAGCCACACUGGGACUGAGACACGGCCCAGACUCCUACGGGAGGCAGCAGUGGGGAAUAUUGGACAAUGGGCGAAAGCCUGAUCCAGCAAUGCCGCGUGAGUGAUGAAGGCCUUAGGGUUGUAAAGCUCUUUUACCCGGGAUGAUAAUGACAGUACCGGGAGAAUAAGCUCCGGCUAACUCCGUGCCAGCAGCCGCGGUAAUACGGAGGGAGCUAGCGUUGUUCGGAAUUACUGGGCGUAAAGCGCGCGUAGGCGGUUUUUUAAGUCAGAGGUGAAAGCCCAGUGCUCAACACUGGAACUGCCUUUGAAACUGGAAAACUUGAAUCUUGGAGAGGUCAGUGGAAUUCCGAGUGUAGAGGUGAAAUUCGUAGAUAUUCGGAAGAACACCAGUGGCGAAGGCGACUGACUGGACAAGUAUUGACGC